AAUCUAGAAACUUUUCAGAAAAGUGUCUUUGAAAAACCCCUAAACGGCGACCAGAAGAUUCAAGAAGGAGAAUCAAUCCGGCGACGGUAGAGAAGUUAGGGUUGACGAAAGUGUUAAAAUGGCUAAUGAAAAAACAGGGCAUAAUGUUACAUUUGUUGAUGGAGCAAAAUUGAUGUGCUCCCAUGCUAACACGCUCCAGGAUCAUAAUGGCUAAAGUAUGUUGUGAAGAUGUGAGUGCUCCCAUGCUAACACGCUCUGCGAUCAAGUAAUGGCUGAAGCGGUUGCAUACAACGUGGCGAAUAUGUUUAAUAUUUAAAACGCUCCAUGUAGAGAACAAUAUGUUUAUGACAAUUUUUUUUAUUUUAACCAUAUGUGGUUACGUGGUUAGGUUGGUUUUUGUUUUUAUGAUGGAAACUGGAUGUUUGGUUUA